rfam:Myotis lucifugus cont2.38414, whole genome shotgun sequence.
GAGACACCCUUCUGGGGCAAGACUUGCUUCAGUGGGGCUUUGGUGCUCACUGAGUCUGCCCCCUGAAUUUGUCCCU